rnacentral:tRNA from 1 species
GCCCCGGUGGCACAAUCGGUUAGCGCGCCAUACUUAUAAUGCGGAGGUUGUGAGUUCGAUCCUCACCCGGGGCA